rnacentral:rRNA from 1 species
AGGCAAAUCCGUAUAACAAUACUCCGAGAACUGAAAGGCUUUUUGAAGUCUUCGGAUGGAUAGAAGAACCCCUGAUGCCGUCGAGCCAAGAAAAGUUUCUAAGUUUAGCUAAUGUUGCCCGUACCGUAAACCGACACAGGUGGGUGGGAUGAGUAUUCUAAGGCGCGUGGAAGAACUCUCUUUAAGGAACUCUGCAAAAUAGCACCGUAUCUUCGGUAUAAGGUGUGGUUAGCUUUGUAUUAGGAUUUACUCCGAAAGCAAGGAAACUUACAACAAAGAGUCCCUCCCGACUGUUUACCAAAAACACAGCACUCUGCUAACUCGUAAGAGGAUGUAUAGGGUGUGACGCCUGCCCGGUGCUCGAAGGUUAAUUGAUGGGGUUAGCAUUAGCGAAGCUCUUGAUCGAAGCCCGAGUAAACGGCGGCCGUAACUAUAACGGUCCUAAGGUAGCGAAAUUCCUUGUCGGUUAAAUACCGACCUGCAUGAAUGGCGUAACGAGAUGGGAGCUGUCUCAAAGAGGGAUCCAGUGAAAUUGUAGUGGAGGUGAAAAUUCCUCCUACCCGCGGCAAGACGGAAAGACCCCGUGGACCUUUACUACAGCUUGACACUGCUACUUGGAUAAGAAUGUGCAGGAUAGGUGGGAGGCUUUGAGUAUAUGACGCCAGUUGUAUAUGAGCCAUUGUUGAGAUACCACUCUUUCUUAUUUGGGUAGCUAACCAGCUUGAGUUAUCCUCAAGUGGGACAAUGUCUGGUGGGUAGUUUGACUGGGGCGGUCGCCUCCCAAAUAAUAACGGAGGCUUACAAAGGUUGGCUCAGAACGGUUGGAAAUCGUUCGUAGAGUAUAAAGGUAUAAGCCAGCUUAACUGCAAGACAUACAAGUCAAGCAGAGACGAAAGUCGGUCUUAGUGAUCCGGUGGUUCUGUGUGGAAGGGCCAUCGCUCAAAGGAUAAAAGGUACCCCGGGGAUAACAGGCUGAUCUCCCCCAAGAGCUCACAUCGACGGGGAGGUUUGGCACCUCGAUGUCGGCUCAUCGCAUCCUGGGGCUGGAGCAGGUCCCAAGGGUAUGGCUGUUCGCCAUUUAAAGCGGUACGCGAGCUGGGUUCAGAACGUCGUGAGACAGUUCGGUCCCUAUCUGCCGUGGGCGUAAGAAGAUUGAAGAGAUUUGACCCUAGUACGAGAGGACCGGGUUGAACAAACCACUGGUGUAGCUGUUGUUCUGCCAAGAGCAUCGCAGCGUAGCUAAGUUUGGAAAGGAUAAACGCUGAAAGCAUCUAAGCGUGAAGCCAACUCUAAGAUGAAUCUUCUCUAAGCUCUCUAGAAGACUACUAGUUUGAUAGGCUGGGUGUGUAAUGGAUGAAAGUCCUUUAGCUGACCAGUACUAAUAGAGCGUUUGGCUUAUCUUU